rnacentral:lncRNA from 1 species
AGAAUAACAAGUGUCUUCAGGGAUGCCUACAGCUAGAGAAGUUUGGCGUCUUAUGAUCUCUAGAACAUGCCCUUGCAGGGACUCCAGAUGUUGGAGGCUGAGUGACUUGGGCAAUGAUUCAGCAAUACCAACUGUGAACUCUCAAUGACUUGGGCUAAUGAGAAGAAUGACAUGGAUAAUCUAAAAAUAAUGGACAACUGGAAAAAACAUCAGCCUGCUUGUGGAGCACACCAGGUCAUGAUUUCUGCAGUGGGGGAGGAGCUGAUUUGCUUCAUUCAUUCUAGAACCUCUAUUCUAGCUGAUGUUAAAUCUGGUUGUUUUUGAGAGCACUCAUAGCCAUCAUGCCCAUCUCUGUAUCACAGGGGUUUGGGAAAAGAAACUCUUCUGGCCAAGGAUGGAAGAAUAAAAACAUAACUGAGUUCCA